UAUGUGGAACUGCCUAGUUACGGCGCUUGGGAAUUUGUUGAUAUUCCCGAUCGAUAUGUAUUUGAUAUAUGUAACUGCAUCUGUCUUUUAUUUUGCAAUCUCCUUGGAGAGUUUACUGUCAUCGUUUUGGAGUCAGUCUUAGAGAAACCCUGUGCCUGAGCGAACGUGUCAGUGUGCUAUCAAAAAUAUAUUGAAACGUAUAGAAAGUUUCCCGUUGACCGUGGAUUCGUUACAGAACCCAAGAAUAAUAUUAAAAGCAUUUGUUUACUUAUUGUUUGUUAUCUUAGUUAACCGUUAAACUAAAUAUUUAUCAAACUUUGAAAAGAAAUAUAAAUUUAUGUAAAUACAACCUUUAUUGAACAUCAUGAUGGCAAGUGCUAACGAAGAAUCGUCUCGCGCUCGAAAUCCAAACGACAAUUCGACAUAUAUAUAUACAUAAAUUAAUUUUGUUGAAAGUACGUGCAUCGGUGAGCGGAAAGUUCAGAAAAUUUGAGAUUCGUCGUUUUGAUAAGGAAACGAGCAUCAUUAAGGUCAACGCGUGUCGAAAGGCACGUCGUGAUGUCAGUGGAAUUCGACGUACUCGUUUGCUGACUGAUAAACCGGCCCGUCCCAUAACGAUCGAUCAGUCUGUGGAAAAAAUCAGUCGAUAUCUGUGCAUUCUAAAAGAUACGCUUACACUACGAUGGAGGAUAUUCUUAGAAACUUCAAAAGUAGCUGGUAACGAUCGAUCCUGGUUCGUGUCGAAUUACUUUGCAAUUCAAUACCUGGAAACGACUUUCGAGAAACCUAAUUCACGCGGAACAACAGUCUGAUCGAGCAAGUCGCUCGCCUUUCGCAGAAAGAAAACUGGAUUCAGAGUUUAAAGUUUAAACACGAAGAACGAGAAGUGGAUUUAAAGGAAAGAACCGGUGAAUCCCAUGGAAAAGAUUAAAUCGUCGAUUACAUUCACAAACAAAAAUAUUUGUAUUUAAAUUAAUUCGGAGAAUACAACGGAAUAUUCGUCUUUAUAUUGGAUCGUGAGUUAAUGUUUGGAUGUACCUAAUAUUGGUUAGUACAAUGUUUACAUCAGAAAAAUGUUUGGACCACGUCAGUCGGAUUAAGAACGCGAGAAAAAAAAGACAAGGGAGAUAAAGAUAGAUGAGAAGAUACGUACGGCGAAAAACGAGGCGUUCUUCGGCUAGUACUAAAGAGGACGUUGCAAACAGAGGAGCGUUACAAAGUAGAAAUAUUGUGAAAGCGAACGGCAAAGAGUGGUAGAAAAUUUACGAGUUCCACUACAAUGGCGGAUAACAAUGACGAAGUGUUAGAAGAAUGUGUUAACGAGGAAUGUUCUGUUGACGAAGUGGAUUCUAACGACGAAGUGGAUUCUAACAACGAAGUGAAUUCCAACGACGAAGUGGAUUCUAACAACGAAGUGGAUUCUAACAACGAAGUGGAUGCUAACGACGAAGUGGAUGCUAACGACGAAGUGGAUGCUAACGACGAAGUGGAUGCUAACGACGAAGUGGAUGCUAACGACGAAGUGGAUGCUAACGAGAAGUGGAUGCUAACGACGAAGUGGA
rnacentral:lncRNA from 1 species